GGGGAAUUAGCUCAGCGGCAUAAGCGCCUGCCUUGUAAGCAGGCAGUCGUGAGUUCAAUCCCUG
rfam:Cavia porcellus supercont2_12 genomic scaffold, whole genome shotgun sequence.